UGGUCAGACCCAUCCCCUUCUUGCGCUUUGGAUUCUUCUCGCGGCGGCGGCAGCGCUCCAGACACGGCCAUCCCCAUCCCCAUUGCCUCUCCCCCUCCCCCAUCAAUAAUAUCCACCCCGCAUCCCCAACCUUUGUUCGCUUCUACUCCCUCCGAUUCGUCGCCUUGGCCAUCUUCUCCGCGUUGGGUUUCAAGGUCGGCAUGUCCUCUUCGCCUGCCGAUGCCAUCCAGUGCUACCUUCGAUUCUGAUUGAGUGAUCGUUCAACAAUGAGGAAGUCCCAUGGCGUUGUAGUCUUAGAUCAUGACUGCCCCAUCAAUGCAUCAUGAAAUCCUCACCAAAGGCCCCAAGAACCGGUAUCUAGCAUUGCCCCUCCCACUGCUUGGGAGUUUUUUUAGGAUCGCAAGAUCUGGAAUGGUGUCACGCCGACGGGGAUCAGAGUAGGCAAAUGGAUAGGACAAGGUCUUCUCGAUCUCGCGUGGCUGGCCCAAUAGGAAAACUCGACCUUAAUCUGCAGCUAUAUGCAACGUCGACACGUGCGAAGGUGGCCGUGGCAGGUUUACUCGUGGCCUGAUAGCUGAUGGCCGGUAGCGACGUUGUUCUUCCAUGGUUUUGAUCUCACCCUUUUGAUGCACGAGUGUUCUUCCAUGUUUUUGAUCUCACCCUUUUGAUGCACAAGGCUUUGGCAUCGGUCCGUAAUAAACAUUCAUGUUCUUUCUUUCUUUUUUUGAAAAAAAGGCAACCAUUCUUUCAUUUGAUCAGAGGAAAAAUGUCAGAUGAAAAGUCAAGGGAAAAGGAUCAGAUGAAAAAAAAGCCAGCGCGGAUAUUCAUUAUUUCCCUACAUUUGGAAUUUAUUAUAUUUAAGGGUCUGUUCCAUUUGAUGUGCUUUAGCCAAUUCCGGUAUGAAGUUUCUGUUGUAGCUUGGUUGAUUUUGUUUCAUGUGAUUGGCGCUUUUUGAAUAUGCACAAAAAAACCUUUCAGUUGUGACUGUCGAAAUGUAUUGAUAGCAUAUAUAUAUAUAUGUGUGUAUACUGACUUUCCUUCUAAUGCAUGUACUUAUUCUCCUUGAAGUAAUUAUUUGUUUAAAGGUAAUUUCCAGGUCAUGUUCAUUCAACACUACUGGGAACCGCUGAAAGCUGUACAAUGACGACGACUAUAAGUGUUACCAAUAAACAAUGAGGCAAGUAUGGUUUCCAUGUUUGGUUUUAAUCUAACACUUGAUUGUAGAGUCAUUUUCUUAGUUUUCUCUGCGGAUAUUUGAUUGUGUGUUACUUACGGAAUUGACAAUCAUUGAUACUUUAGUUGUCUGGCAUGUGAUCUUCCCCUCUAUUAAAUGCAAAAUAUGCCUUUGAAUCCCCCCGGAUAUAUUAAUUAUAUUUUUUUGUUAAAACUUGAAGUAGGAGCCUCACUUAUUUUCAAAUCUUAUACUCUUUUCAGUAUUUGAAAGAAGUGCUUCUAGCAUGGCGGGAAGUCAUGUAAGUGUAAAGGCUACAACCUUGAUUCACACAAAAAGGGUGCCACACUGAGUUUGCAAUUGCGCCAUUGCGGGCAAUGGAGCCAGCUUUUGGGUCCUUCCCUUGCAUAAAAAAGGCAUGCCUUUGGGUUCCUUCUUAUUUUCCCGACGGUCAAGUUUUUUUAAUAAUUUCCAUCAAUAAAAGGCUACACACCUCUUUUAUGUUUGCGUGUUUGGAAUAAUUUUGAUUUUAUGUUUUAUUAUGUUCUGUCCAAUGUUGGCAUGUCUUCAAAGUGGAACCAUCUUAUUUGCAGACCUUGAAGGCAUGUAAUGUUGACUGAAAUGUUAUAAAUAAAACCGAGGAUGCUUGCUUA